CCUACGGGUGGCAGCAGUCGAGAAUCAUUCACAAUGGGGGAAACCCUGAUGGUGCGACGCCGCGUGGGGGAAUGAAGGUCUUCGGAUUGUAAACCCCUGUCAUGUGGGAGCAAAUUAAAAAGAUAGUACCACAAGAGGAAGAGACGGCUAACUCUGUGCCAGCAGCCGCGGUAAUACAGAGGUCUCAAGCGUUGUUCGGAAUCACUGGGCGUAAAGCGUGCGUAGGCUGUUUCGUAAGUCGUGUGUGAAAGGCGCGGGCUCAACCCGCGGACGGCACAUGAUAAUGCGAGACUAGAGUAAUGGAGGGGGAACCGGAAUUCUCGGUGUAGCAGUGAAAUGCGUAGAUAUCGAGAGGAACACUCGUGGCGAAGGCGGGUUCCUGGACAUUAACUGACGCUGAGGCACGAAGGCCAGGGGAGCGAGAGGGAUUAGAUACCCCAGUAGUC
rnacentral:rRNA from 1 species